rnacentral:lncRNA from 1 species
UCACCUUAUUUAUAAGCUAAAACUAGGGUUACUAGAAUAGGAUAAAAUACUAAAAUACCCUCUAACAAACUUAGGGGCUAAGAAAAUAGUACAACUAAUAAAUAUGAAUUACUUCUAAUACCAUCCCUUAAUUCAUAUUCCAUCAAAACUUGUAACACCAAUUCCGUCCCUUAAUCUGAGAAAUUGAUCAGUCUUGAUAGCUUU